GACGAACGCUGGCGGCGUGCUUAACACAUGCAAGUCGAACGGUGAAGGUGGAGCUUGCUCCGCCGGAUCAGUGGCGAACGGGUGAGUAACACGUGGGCAACCUGCCCCUCACUUCGGGAUAACUCCGGGAAACCGGGGCUAAUACCGGAUACGACCUCCUUGGGCAUCCUUGGAGGUGGAAAGUUUUUCGGUGAGGGAUGGGCCCGCGGCCUAUCUGCUUGUUGGUGAGGUAGUGGCUCACCAAGGCGACGACGGGUAGCCGGCCUGAGAGGGCGACCGGCAACACUGGGACUGAGACACGGCCCAGACUCCUACGGGAGGCAGCAGUGGGGAAUAUUGCGCAAUGGGCGAAAGCCUGACGCAGCAACGCCGCGUGCGGGAUGAAGGCCUUCGGGUUGUAAACCGCUUUCAGCAGGGAAGAAGCCGCAAGGUGACGGUACCUGCAGAAGAAGCACCGGCUAACUACGUGCCAGCCGCCGCAGUAA
rnacentral:rRNA from 1 species